UCAUACACAAGUGCUCUGUUCAAAAACAGCCCCUGAGGAGCGAAGUCAAGUGUGAAGGGACUACGACCAGCAAGGGAAUAAAGUGUAACUACUCACAGCACACUGCACUCACAGUUCUGGUAAAGAAGAGAAUGGCAGCCACUUGGAAGAAGGAGAGUCCUUUACAAAGUUGUCUGUAAAAGACUUCUGUUACUCAACUCCAGCUGAGAAAUACAGGGGCACCCCAGCAGUGGAGCUGUUGUCAGCUUGUCUUGAGAGUUUAUUCGGCUGCCUCUCACCCCUGCAGCUGUGUGGGAUUGUGAGUGCCUGGCUGUAAACAACGCCAUAUUUCGUGCUUCUUUUUGGAUGACUUGAAGGCCAGGCUGAGGCCAGAUGUGUUUGCUGGUGUAAUCUGUUUCCCAUUUCUCGUAAUAAAAGCAUAUCUCAACAACUACUAAUAAAGUGAAAUCAGGA